rnacentral:misc_RNA from 1 species
CAGAGCUCGCAAAACUCCCUACAAACCCUCGUGAACCGUACUAUACAUAACGUUGCUUCGGCGGUGCGCUCCCGGGAUUCAUUCCCGCGGCGCGUCAGCCCGCCGGCAGGCCGUAUACAAAUUCUUAUUCUUAACCAGUUGACAUCUCGAGUACUAUACUAAUAAGUUA